GGGCGAUUAGCUCAGGGGGAGAGCGCUUCCUUCACACGGAAGAGGUCGUGGGUUCGAAUCCCUCAUCGCCCA
rnacentral:tRNA from 1 species